AUGCAAGUCGCGCGUCGGCGCCUCCCCGCCGACGCGGCGAACGGCUCCGUAACACGUCCCCAACCGAACCUCGGGACGGGGAUAACCUCGGGAAACUGAGGCUAAUCCCCGAUAGGGGUGGGCUGGUGGAACUCCCCCACCCCGAAAUGGAGGCGAGAGGGUAUGGUCUCGCCUCCGCCCGAGGACGGGGGGGCGGCCCAUCAGGUGGUAGGUGGGGUAACGGCCCACCUAGCCUGUGACGGGUACGGGCGCUGGGAGGCGGAKCCCGGAGAGGGGCACUGAGACAAGGGCCUCAGCCCUACGGGGUGCAGCAGUCGCGAAACCUCCGCAAUGCGCGCAAGCGUGACNGGGCCAGCCCGAGU
rnacentral:rRNA from 1 species